UACGGGGGGGGCAAGCGUUGUUCGGAAUUACUGGGCGUAAAGGGCUCGUAGGCGGCCAACUAAGUCAGACGUGAAAUCCCUCGGCUUAACCGGGGAACUGCGUUUGAUACGGAUGGGCUAGAGUUCGGGAGAGGAGAGUGGAAUUCCCAGUGUAGAGGUGAAAUUCGUAGAUAUUGGGAAGAACACCGGUGGCGAAGGCGGCCCGCUGGUCCGGUACUGACGCUGAGGUGCGAAAGCGUGGGGAGCAAACAGG
rnacentral:rRNA from 1 species